CACCCGAUGACUGAAAGUAAGUAUAGGUCUUUUAAACCUAUUAUAGUAACGCCUACUUCUGGUGG
rnacentral:tRNA from 1 species